CCUACGGGAGGCUGCAGUGGGGAAUAUUGCACAAUGGGCGCAAGCCUGAUGCAGCCAUGCCGCGUGUGUGAAGAAGGCCUUCGGGUUGUAAAGCACUUUCAGCGGGGAGGAAGGCGGUGAGGUUAAUAACCUCAUCGAUUGACGUUACCCGCAGAAGAAGCACCGGCUAACUCCGUGCCAGCAGCCGCGGUAAUACGGAGGGUGCAAGCGUUAAUCGGAAUUACUGGGCGUAAAGCGCACGCAGGCGGUCUGUCAAGUCGGAUGUGAAAUCCCCGGGCUCAACCUGGGAACUGCAUUCGAAACUGGCAGGCUAGAGUCUUGUAGAGGGGGGUAGAAUUCCAGGCGUAGCGGUGAAAUGCGUAGAGAUCUGGAGGAAUACCGGUGGCGAAGGCGGCCCCCUGGACAAAGACUGACGCUCAGGUGCGAAAGCGUGGGGAGCAAACAGGAUUAGAUACCCCGGUAGUC
rnacentral:rRNA from 1 species